rnacentral:rRNA from 1 species
AACGAACGCUGGCGGCAGGCCUAACACAUGCAAGUCGAGCGCCCCGCAAGGGGAGGCGGCGGACGGGUGAGUAACGCGUGGGAACGUACCUUUUGCUACGGAAUAGCCUCGGGAAACUGGGAGUAAUACCGUAUGUGCCCUUUGGGGGAAAGAUUUAUCGGCAAAAGAUCGGCCCGCGUUGGAUUAGGUAGUUGGUGGGGUAAUGGCCUACCAAGCCGACGAUCCAUAGCUGGUUUGAGAGGAUGAUCAGCCACACUGGGACUGAGACACGGCCCAGACUCCUACGGGAGGCAGCAGUGAGGAAUAUUGGACAAUGGGCGCAAGCCUGAUCCAGCCAUGCCGCGUGAGCGAUGAAGGCCUUUAGGGUUGUAAAGCUCUUUCAGUGGGGAAGAUAAUGACUGUACCCACAGAAGAGCCCCGGCUAACUCCGUGCCAGCAGCCGCGGUAAAGUACAGUGU